rnacentral:rRNA from 1 species
AGAGUUUGAUCAUGGCUCAGGAUGAACGCCGGCGGUGUGCCUAAUACAUGCAAGUCGAACGCGUUGGCCCAACUGAUUGAACGUGCUUGCACGGACUUGACGUUGGUUUACCAGCGAGUGGCGGACGGGUGAGUAACACGUAGGUAACCUGCCCCAAAGCGGGGGAUAACAUUUGGAAACAGAUGCUAAUACCGCAUAACAAUUUGAAUCGCAUGAUUCAAAUUUAAAAGAUGGUUUCGGCUAUCACUUUGGGAUGGACCUGCGGCGCAUUAGCUUGUUGGUAGGGUAACGGCCUACCAAGGCUGUGAUGCGUAGCCGAGUUGAGAGACUGAUCGGCCACAAUGGAACUGAGACACGGUCCAUACUCCUACGGGAGGCAGCAGUAGGGAAUCUUCCACAAUGGGCGCAAGCCUGAUGGAGCAACACCGCGUGAGUGAAGAAGGGUUUCGGCUCGUAAAGCUCUGUUGUUAGAGAAGAACGUGCGUGAGAGCAACUGUUCACGCAGUGACGGUAUCUAACCAGAAAGUCACGGCUAACUACGUGCCAGCAGCCGCGGUAAUACGUAGGUGGCAAGCGCUAUCCGGAUUUAUUGGGCGUAAAGCGAGCGCAGGCGGUUUGAUAAGUCUGAUGUGAAAGCCUUUGGCUUAACCAAAGAAGUGCAUCGGAAACUGUCAGACUUGAGUGCAGAAGAGGACAGUGGAACUCCAUGUGUAGCGGUGGAAUGCGUAGAUAUAUGGAAGAACACCAGUGGCGAAGGCGGCUGUCUGGUCUGCAACUGACGCUGAGGCUCGAAAGCAUGGGUAGCGAACAGGAUUAGAUACCCUGGUAGUCCAUGCCGUAAACGAUGAGUGCUAGGUGUUGGAGGGUUUCCGCCCUUCAGUGCCGCAGCU